rnacentral:rRNA from 1 species
GACGAACGCUGGCGGCGUGCCUAACACAUGCAAGUCGAACGGAACUGUUUUGAAAGCUUUCUUCGGAAUGAAUUUGAUUUAGUUUAGUGGCGGACGGGUGAGUAACGCGUGAGUAACCUGCCUUCAAGAGGGGAAUAACAUUCUGAAAAGAAUGCUAAUACCGCAUGACAUAUCGGAACCACAUGGUUUUGAUAUCAAAGAUUUUAUCGCUUGAAGAUGGACUCGCGUCCGAUUAGUUAGUUGGUGAGGUAACGGCUCACCAAGACCGCGAUCGGUAGCCGGACUGAGAGGUUGAACGGCCACAUGGGGACUGAGACACGGCCCAGACUCCUACGGGAGGCAGCAGUGGGGGAUAUUGCGCAAUGGGGGCAACCCUGACGCAGCAACGCCGCGUGAAGGAUGAAGGUUUUCGGAUUGUAAACUUCUUUUAUUAAGGACGAAAAAUGACGGUACUUAAUGAAUAAGCUCCGGCUAACUACGUG